AGUCCGAGCUGUAAACGAUGUCUAGCUAGGUGUGCCACAGGCUACGAGCCUGUGGUGUGCCGUAGGGAAGCCGUGAAGCAGACCGCCUGGGAAGUACGUCCGCAAGGAUGAAACUUAAAGGAAUUGGCGGGGGAGCACUACAACCGGAGGAGCCUGCGGUUUAAUUGGACUCAACGCCGGACAUCUCACCAGCAUCGACAGUAGCAAUGAAGAUCAGUGUGAUGAGCUUAUCGGAGCUACUGAGAGGAGGUGCAUGGCCGCCGUCAGCUCGUACCGUGAGGCGUCCUGUUAAGUCAGGCAACGAGCGAGACCCGCACUCCUAAUUGCCAGCAACACCCUUGUGGUGGUUGGGUACAUUAGGAGGACUGCCAGUGCCAAACUGGAGGAAGGAACGGGCAGCGGUAGGUCAGUAUGCCCCGAAUGUGCUGGGCAACACGCGGGCUACAAUGGUCGAGACAGUGGGAGCCAACCCCGAGAGGGGGCGCUAAUCUCCGAAACUCGAUCGUAGUUCGGAUUGCGGACUGAAACUCGUCCGCAUGAAGCUGGAUUCGGUAGUAAUCGCCGUUCAGAAGAGGGCGGUGAAUACGUCCCUGCUCCUUGCACACACC
rnacentral:rRNA from 1 species